rnacentral:lncRNA from 1 species
UUCGUAUAUACAUAAGCAUGUAGUCUUUAGUUCCUUGAAAGGACCUAAUUACUUUAUUUGCAGCUUUCCAGUGUUCCAUAUCUGGAUUCUCUAAUAUUUAUUUAAUAUUCCAAUUGCAAAUGCAAUGUCAGACCGUGUGCGAACCUGAGCAUACAUUAGGCUUCCACCGAUGGAAGCAUAUAGAAUAUUAAGCUUUUGUUCCCUCUCAAAUCGUUAUUCAGCAUAGGUCCAAAUAGAACCUAUCACCCUUCACAAUGGAUGCUAUACGUGGUGAACAACAUUUCAUCUAAAACAUCUCUAAGACUUUAUUGAUAUGAGCCUAUUAUGACAAAUCUAGAAUUCUACGAACUCUAUCUCUAUGAAUCUCAAUGCCCAAUGACAUAAGAAGUGUCACUCAUAUCUAUAUAUCACAACUCUUAGAGAGAAUUUGUUUCACCUUAUAUAGCAACUUUUAUCAUUAGUAGCAAGUAAAAUAUCAUCCACGAACAAAAUAAGGAAAUAAUUUAUACUCCCACUGACCUUCUGGUAUAUACAUUGAUCCAUA